GACGAACGCUGGCGGCGUGCUUAACACAUGCAAGUCGAACGGAAAGGCCCUGCUUUUGUGGGGUGCUCGAGUGGCGAACGGGUGAGUAACACGUGAGUAACCUGCCCUUGACUUUGGGAUAACUUCAGGAAACUGGGGCUAAUACCGGAUAGGAGCUCCUGCUGCAUGGUGGGGGUUGGAAAGUUUCGGCGGUUGGGGAUGGACUCGCGGCUUAUCAGCUUGUUGGAGGGGUAGUGGCUUACCAAGGCUUUGACGGGUAGCCGGCCUGAGAGGGUGACCGGCCACAUUGGGACUGAGAUACGGCCCAGACUCCUACGGGAGGCAGCAGUGGGGAAUAUUGCACAAUGGGCGGAAGCCUGAUGCAGCAACGCCGCGUGCGGGAUGACGGCCUUCGGGUUGUAAACCGCUUUCGCCUGUGAGGAAGCGUGAGUGACGGUAAUGGGUAAAGAAGCACCGGCUAACUACGUG
rnacentral:rRNA from 1 species